AGGUGCGAUCAUACCAGCACUAAUGCACCGGAUCCCAUCAGAACUCCGCAGUUAAGCGGUAGUACUGGGAUGGGUGACCUCC
rnacentral:rRNA from 1 species